rnacentral:tRNA from 1 species
GUGUGUGUAGUGAAGUGGUAACACAGGGCUCUGCAAAAGCCUAAUCGCAGGUUCGAAUCCUGUCAUGCACU